rnacentral:rRNA from 1 species
AUGGCUCAGGAUGAACGCUAGCUACAGGCUUAACACAUGCAAGUCGAGGGGCAGCGGGAGAGUAGCUGCUACUCUUGCCGGCGACCGGCGCACGGGUGCGUAACGCGUAUCCAACCUGCCGUGUACUCUGGGGAUAGCCCUCUGAAAGGAGGAUUAAUACCCGAUGUGGUUGCGGAGAGACAUCUCUCUGCAAUUAAAGAUUUAUCGGUACACUGAUGGGGAUGCGUACGAUUAGCUAGUUGGCGGGGUAACGGCCCACCAAGGCGACGAUCGUUAGGGGUUCUGAGAGGAAGGUCCCCCACAUAGGAACUGAGACACGGUCCUAACUCCUACGGGAGGCAGCAGUGAGGAAUAUUGGUCAAUGGGCGAGAGCCUGAACCAGCCAAGUAGCGUGAAGGAAGACUGCCCUAUGGGUUGUAAACUUCUUUUAUCGGGGAAUAAAGUGCGUCACGUGUGGCGUUUUGUAUGUACCCGAUGAAUAAGCAUCGACUAAUUCCGUGCCAGCCGCUGC